GCGCUUGUCCCACUGGUGGCCUUUACGGAACACCUUAUUGCUGUGGAACUGACUUGUUGGGCUUGGCAGAGAUUGAUUGUAGAACUCCUACCAUCCCAGUAUCUACUAGCAAUUUCAAAGCAACCUGCGCGCUUACAGGAAGUCGAUCUCGUUGCUGUGCUAUACCUCUUGGAGUUUUGUCUCUCUUAUGUGUAGAGGGACCAGCAUAAAAACAACUUCAACUGGAUCUGAUAUGUCUUGGCCAUCACCCGAAUUUGUUGUAUUUUUCUCUAAUUUCGUUGUUUAAAAACGAUGUUUAAUUUUUAAUAAA